AUUGAACGCUGGCGGCAUGCCUUACACAUGCAAGUCGAACGGUAACGGGCCUUCGGGUGCCGACGAGUGGCGAACGGGUGAGUAAUGUAUCGGAACGUACCUUUCAGUGGGGGAUAACGUAGCGAAAGUUACGCUAAUACCGCAUAUUCUGUGAGCAGGAACGCAGGGGAUCGCAAGACCUUGCGCUGAUUGAGGGGCCGAUAUCAGAUUAGCUAGUUGGUGAGGUAAAGGCUCACCAAGGCGACGAUCUGUAGCGGGUCUGAGAGGAUGAUCCGCCACACUGGAACUGAGACACGGUCCAGACCCCUACGGGAGGCAGCAGUGGGGAAUUUUGGACAAUGGGCGCAAGCCUGAUCCAGCCAUGCCGCGUGCGGGAAGAAGGCCUUCGGGUUGUAAACCGCUUUUGGCAGGAACGAAACGGCGCAAGCCAAUACCUUGCGCUAAUGACGGUACCUGCAGAAUAAGCACCGGCUAACUACGUGCCAGCCGCCGCAGUAAAAC
rnacentral:rRNA from 1 species